rnacentral:lncRNA from 1 species
ACUCCCUCCUGGGGGAUGCAUCAGAAAGCCUCUAGGAAGAGAAACAAGAUCGACUGAAGGACGUUCUUUCCAGAACAAGCAGGAUAAAAAGCAUCCCAUGGCCAGGCAGUGGUGGCGCACGCCUUUAAUCUCAGCAAUUGGGAGGCAGAGGCAGAGGAUUUCUGAGUUCGAGGACAGCCUGGUCUACAAAGCCCACCAGCCCAGGACCGAACAGCUCACAGUGGGCUGGGUUGCCCCACAUAAUCAGCAACUGUGAAUGCCGCAUAGACACGUGAGCACGGUCUUGCCAACCAAUCGGAUGGAAGAAUUCCUCAGUUGAGAUGCCCUCUUCCCAGGUGACUCUACUUUUGGGCAAAAUGGACAAAAAACUUAACCAGCACAUGGAUCAAAGAUUUGUUAAAUAACAUUAAUACAGGAACUUGAGUCUAUGAUGAAUACAUCAUAGACUCAUAUGACACGCUUAAACGCUCUUAAAAUUACGCAUCAUUUAAAUACAUUUGUCUUUGAAAUGAUUUGUGAGAAAGCAUGGGAAUUGAGUGUGGAAGGUGUGAGGGCGAAGAGAGUCGGAGCUUUUAUUGAACAAUUCGUGCUGAAGCUUGGUUUGUCUUGCUCCCAACGAUCAAUUGUCUCCUUUUCCCAAAAGUUUGGUAACUCCCCUAUGGUUUGAAAUCUGCCAUAAUAAUAGUUUUCUAGUGACACAAUAACAAUUAUUAUUAAACACUACAAACCAAGGCUUAUUUCCUCUUUAGAGAGCUGGUUGUCAGGCAUUUACUAUCAUGCUUCCGUUACAUGGGCUAGACGGUAAAUUAUGACUGAGGACUUGGCUUAGCAGAUAAGAGCACUUUAUAGCCACAAGUUCAUGGACAUUAUACAGAUGGAAUGAAAACUAUUCUUAGACAGGUUCUCUCUACACAGUCCUGACUGUCUUGGAAUUCACAGUGUAGACUAGGCUGGCCUCAAACUCACAGAGAUCCACCUGCCUUCUCAUCCAAGUGCUGAGAUUAAAGGCAUGUGCUAUGACACCCAGCUAAUAAUAUUUUUAAGACUAUGAUAUCAUAAGAAGAUAUAAGGAUAUUAUUUCACAGGUAUUAACAAGCCAUGGCUAUUUCUAUGAUGAGUGAUCUGAGGAAAUUUAUCAGCUACUUAUUUCAUUGCUGUGGUAAAUGUUGGGAACAAGCAAGAGAAACUUAUUCUAAGUACUGCCAUUUCUUUUUGAGACUCCAUUUACUCAUAGGGAGAAACUAAAUUCAAGGUCCCAGUCCCUAGGGAUUGAGGACUUCUCUAUAGCUGAACAGCUUCUGUUGUGAACAAUUGUCUUAGUCCAAACAUUUCAAGGAUGAUUUAUAAGGAGACAGUUGUCUGAGCCCAGCCAUCUCAAGGACAACGUUCUCAUCUUGCUGGCAGGGUCAAACAAGCUCAUGUUCCCAGGCCUAGGAACGAACACCUGUCCCACUUCUCUAAAAGAUUUCUUUUAAAAAAAUAAAUCUUUUUAAAAAACGAUUUAUCUAUUUAUUUCAUGUAUGUGAGUACACUGUCGCUGUUUUCAGACACCACAGAAGAGGGCAACAGAUCCCAUUACAGAUGGUUGUGCUCCACCAUGUGGUUGCUGGGAAUUAAACUCAGGACCUCUGGAAGAACAGUCAGUGCUCUUAACCGCUGAGCCAUCCCUCCAGCCCCUCCAAAAGUUUUCUUAAUUGAUCAUUAACUGGUAAAGAAUAUAGAGAUUAUUGUUAUCUAAACCAAGGUGCAUAAAUUAUAAAAAUAUAUAAGCAGUUGUCCGUUAUGCCCUAAUUGGCUAUGUGCAGUUUUUCACUCCUUUGUUCCCUUAUCAUUCUAAAAUUCCAGGCCAUAGUCCAGGAGGAAACUUGACUGCAAAAGUUGAAUUAAGGACCUUGAAGACAUGAGCCCUGGAUACAGUCCAGUCUCCAAGCAUGGGUGUUCCCUUUUUUAACCUGUAAUGUCAAAAUACAGUUGGGUAGCACUGCAGCUUCCCGCGCACCCCUUUUGUGUUCCUGUCCUUUAAAAAUGCUAUACAAUCUCCCUUUAGGGACUUGGUUUAGGUCUCGAGCUAACCACCUCCCUGCGUGCUCAGAAAAUAAAGCUGUCAUUUGU